CACAGCUCACGGCGACGCUGGAUCCCUAACCCACUGAGCGAGGCCAGGGAUCAAACCCUCAUUGUCGUGGAUCCGCCUUGGGUUCAUUAACCACUGAGCCACGAAGGGAACCCUUGUUUUUUCUUUUUUUACUUUUUCUUUUUGGCCACACCCAAGACAUAUGGAAGCUCCCAGGCCAGGGAUCAAACCCUCGAUGCCACAGAGACAAGCCAGAUCAUUAACCCAUUGUGCCAUAGCGGGUACUCCCUCUUUUUUUGUCUUUUAAGGAUCUGAAUGUAUAUAUGCUUAUUUAGCUAAAGUAAAAUCUAUCGCCCCUCUCUUGGGAGACACCCUGCAGUUGUGUCCUUCUGCACAGUUGCCCUGGGCCUGGUGGUAACAUCUACCAGAGGACCAGGGCUGCGUCCUCACGGGCCUCCAUGGCGAUGCUUUUACCAGAUGGCAUUUUAUCAUGAGGCACCAGAGGAGGAGACAGUCCCCUGCAGGUCCUCAGUGAGCUGCCCCGGGCAUCCUUGUGUUCUGUGCAGGGGCUCCUCCCUAAGGGGGCGAAUGAGGCCUGAACCCAGCCUGGCUCCUGUCCCCAAGCCCUGUGCCCUCACGGCCACGCAGGCCUGGAGACGUGUGUCCUUAUUCGCGUGGAAGUACUCGGGCCGACAGCAGCCUCCUCGUGCCUGGGUGUGGCUGGACAUUGAACAGUGUCUUCUUUGUCUUCGGGAGAAAAUUCUCUCCAGUGUGAGCAUCAGAAAUUGGAGUUCCUGGAGUUCCCGUCGUGGCUCAGUGGAAACGAAUCUGACUAGGAUCCAUGAGGACGCAGGUUUGAUCCCUGGCCUUGCUCAGUGGGUUAAGGAUCCGACGUUGCUGUGAGCUGAGGUGUAGUUUGCCGACGCAGCUCAGACCUGGUGUUGCCGUGGGCUGCGGUAUAGGCCAGCAGCUACAGCUCCAAUUCGACCUCUAGCCUGGGAACUUCCAGAUGCUGUGGGUGCAGCCCUUAAAAGACAAAAACAAACAAACUAACGAAAUAGCUGUGCUUCCCUUGGGCUCCUGAUUGGUUUUGUGUUGUGGGUACAAGCAUAAUUUCCUCUUCCCGUGGACCACGAGGAAGCUUAGAAUCAGGCCGGAGUCUCCCCUCUAGCAAGUAGGUGGGAUUUCACAGCAUGCAUCCCGAGUGCCGCUGUGCAGAGUGGUCUGGGUGGAGCCGGGAACCAUAUAAAUAUGUUAACUUGAGAAACUAUUUUCUGCAUUGCUUUGUCUGGGUCGUAAAUUGAGUCUGGGUCUGCUUACUUGAGAAGAUUAUUAUAAUUCAUUCCGUGUACACUUGUGUAUCUUGCUCUGUGCUGGUCACACGGUGGGGAUGAAGACAGGCUGGGCCUCUACCCUCAGGGGCCUAUAUGCCCAUCGGGCAGAAGGCAGGGGGAGACUGAGCAAGGCGAUUACAGACUGGAACAGUGCCCUUGUGAGUGCACAGGGGUGAGGGGCUGGGGUAAGAGGGGGUUCCUUAAACGGAAUGAGCAGGGAAGCCUUUUAAAGGAGCACUAAUUUACUGUAAAUUGAAUCCUUAGCUUGGUGCCCAGCACACAGUAGGCUCUCAGUCGAUGGGAACCGCUGUUGUUAUUAUUAACUGUUCUCUUGCCCUCACUGUUGGCUGCUCAAUGCAUGGAGACAGAGGGAAACAUCGCCAAGUUUGAAGAAGUGGUGAUGGCUUUGCAGGUGUGCCGGCACUGGAGGCUCAGGGAUCCCCAGCUGAUGAGCUCUGGGAGUGUCUUCCCCCCCUUGGCCAUCUUGAAAAGCUUCCUUGCUGGGUGGUUCCAAGCAGCUUUGCUGGAUGCCUCAUCUUAGGUUUGUCAUGUGAGCUGAGGCUUCUCUCCAAACCAUCAUCCUCAAGCCUCAGUCUGCCGCCACCGCCUGGUAUCUUUGCCAUCUGCAAUUUCCUGAUGGUUAUCGUAGCGCAAGUUUCAGUUCGUAUCCAUUUAGAACCAAACGCAGUGAAAGCCUGACCAGUGUGGGGGCAGUGAGGAGCAGGAGGCCCUUCCCUGCGGAGAUAAUAUUCAGUGUUCAGCCGAGGUGUGCGGUGGACUGAAGUGUAUCUCCUCCACCUUCCUGCUUUUGAGCUCUCUGAGUUUCUGACAUAGUUGGCCCGUCUGGGAGACGAGGAGGGAAGGGUUAGGGCCUGAGGCUGGGAGUUUGGGUGAAUAUAACAAGUUGGCCUCACUGUCCUCCCAGGAGUGAUGCCUGGCGAUGACGUGCAGGAGCUAAGCUGGGGGGAAGACGCUGGGAAAGUGCCCACAAGACAGCGCCUUCCCUUGGUUACCUCAGGGAACCCACUUACGCCUCUAUUACCCUGUAAAUUAGGAGAGUGAUUCAGUCAGGUAUAUUUAUCAUGAAGAGAACUGAAGAUAAUUAAUACACUGCAUUGAAUGCAAAUUGCACCCACAGCACUUAUCUCAUUUUCAAUUAGCACAAAUGUUACAGCACUGCAGGCUUGUUAUGGUUUUACCAUGGGCUGGGUAAUUAAUUUCUGUGAGCCACAUAGCAGGCACCUGGUAAUGCCGUUUAUUAAUAAAUGUCACCCCAGGUAUCGGUUUGUUAGAGGAGGCAAAUGAAUGGAAUGCGAAGGUGUCUGCCCUGCGCAAAUCUAUUUUUACACCUCACUGAGUCUUUUCACUUGUUUGUUUAUUGACUAGAGUGACGACUGAGAUUACAAUUGCAAACAAAGGAACCCCCCCCCUUAAUGUGGCCUCAAAGGGGGAUUCCUCUUUCUUCCCCCUCAGGGAUGCUGAGGCCUGUGAGCAGAGUGGAGUGUGUGGUGGAGGAGGUUCUGUUGCUUCAGAAGGCAUUGUCCCUGAUGGGAGCCCCCCAGGGGCAGCAUCAGAAAGGAGGAGCCCCCCCCCCCCAACCACAGACACCCUCCCAUAGGUGGUGCUGGUCCUACCUCCCCAGCCGUGAAUCUCUGGGGAGCAAGAGAUCUCACGGACUCCUUUCCUGGGCCCCCGUCCCAUCGCAUCCUUACCCCCUUUCUCUGGUCGAAUUCUCCUCUAUACUCUUAGCCGCCACCCGCCUGCCAUCUGGGCCUCUGAUGUGAGAAGGUGGGUGGGAACUGGAGGCUUUUGACAAGUGUGGGUUGUUGAGCCGAGGUCUCCUAACUCUCUGAGCUUUCCCACGCAUCUGAACUUGUGCCUUCUCUUUCCAUACUGGCAGGGACAUUAGUUAAAAAAAAAAAAAACAACCCUCAAAAUUUGGGGUUCCUUUCCUGGCUCAGUGUUUAAUGAAUCUGACUAGGAACCGUGAGGUUGAGGGUUCGAUCCCUGGCCUUGGUCAGUGGGUUAAGGAUCCGGCGUUGCCCUGAGCUGUGGUAUAGGUCACAGACGUGGCGGAUCUGGUAUGGCUGUGGCUGUGGUGUAGGCCGGUGGCUACACCUCCAAUUAGACCCCUAGCCUGGGAACUUCCAUGUGCCACUGGUGCGGCCC
rnacentral:lncRNA from 1 species